rnacentral:tRNA from 1 species
UGACUUCGUAGCUCAGUUGGUUAGAGCACUGCACCGGCAUUGUAGAGGUCAUGGGUUCAAAUCCCUUUGAGUCAC